CCUACGGGUGGCAGCAGUGAGGAAUAUUGGUCAAUGGGCGCGAGCCUGAACCAGCCAAGUAGCGUGAAGGAUGACUGCCCUACGAGUUUUAAACUUCUUUUAUAGAGGAAUAAAGUGACGCACGUGUGCCUUUUUGUAUGUACUUUAUGAAUAAGGAUCGGCUAAUUCCGUGCCAGCAGCCGCGGUAAUACGGAGGAUCCGAGCUUUAUCCGGAUUUUUUUGUUUUAAAGGAAACGUAUAUUGGUUGUUAAGUCAGUGUUGAAAGUUUCGGGCUCAACCGUAAAAUUGCAAUUGAUACUGGCAGUCUAGAGUACGGUAGAGGUAGGCGGAAUUCGUGGUGUAGCGGUGAAAUGCUUAGAUA
rnacentral:rRNA from 1 species